rnacentral:rRNA from 1 species
AUCUUGGGGCUUAUCCCUGAGCGUGCUUUCGAUACGGGUUGACUUGAGGAAGGUAGGGGAGAAUGGAAUUCCUGGUGGAGCGGUGGAAUGCGCAGAUAUCAGGAGGAACACCGAUGGCGAAGGCAGGUCUCUGGGCUGUAACUGACGCUGAGGAGCGAAAGCAUGGGGAGCGAACAGGAUUAGAUACCCUGGUAGUCCACGCCGUAAACGAUGAUAACUAGCUAUU